AACGAACGCUGGCGGCAUGCCUAACACAUGCAAGUCGAACGAGACCUUCGGGUCUAGUGGCGCACGGGUGCGUAACGCGUGGGAACCUGCCCUUAGGUUCGGAAUAACUCCCCGAAAGGGGUGCUAAUACCGGAUAAUGUCUUCGGACCAAAGAUUUAUCGCCUUUAGAUGGGCCCGCGUUGGAUUAGCUAGUUGGUAGGGUAAAAGCCUACCAAGGCGACGAUCCAUAGCUGGUCUGAGAGGAUGAUCAGCCACACUGGGACUGGGACACGGCCCAGACUCCUACGGGAGGCAGCAGUGGGGAAUAUUGGACAAUGGGCGAAAGCCUGAUCCAGCAAUGCCGCGUGAGUGAUGAAGGCCUUAGGGUUGUAAAGCUCUUUUACCCGGGAUGAUAAUGACAGUACCGGGAGAAUAAGCUCCGGCUAACUCCGUG
rnacentral:rRNA from 1 species